UACGGGGGAUGCAAGCGUUAUCCGGAAUCAUUGGGCGUAAAGCGUCUGUAGGUUGUUUAAUAAGUCUGUUGUUAAAGACUAGGGCUCAACCCUAGAAAAGCAAUGGAAACUACUAGACUUGAGUAUGGCAGGGGUAGAGGGAAUUUCUAGUGUAGCGGUGAAAUGCGUUGAUAUUAGAAAGAACACCAGCGGCGAAAGCGCUCUACUGGACCAUUACUGACACUCAGAGACGAAAGCUAGGGUAGCAAAAGGGAUUAGAUACCCCUGUAGUCCUAGCCGUAAACGAUGGAUACUAGAUGUUGUGUUUAAUAUGCAGUAUCGUAGCUAACGCGUUAAGUAUCCCGCCUGGGGAGUACGCUCGCAAGGGUG
rnacentral:rRNA from 1 species